rnacentral:rRNA from 1 species
UACAGAGGUCUCAAGCGUUGUUCGGAUUCAUUGGGCGUAAAGGGUGCGUAGGUGGCGGGGUAAGUCAGGUGUGAAAUCUCGGGGCUCAACCCCGAAACUGCACUUGAUACUGCCUUGCUCGAGUACUGGAGAGGAGAUUGGAAUUUACGGUGUAGCAGUGAAAUGCGUAGAUAUCGUAAGGAAGACCAGUGGCGAAGGCGAAUCUCUGGACAGUUCCUGACACUGAGGCACGAAGGCCAGGGGAGCAAACGGG